rnacentral:rRNA from 1 species
GAUGAACGCUGGCGGCGUGCUUAACACAUGCAAGUCGAACGAAGAUAAAUGGAAUGAGAGCUUCGGCAGGAAUUUCACUUAUCUUAGUGGCGGACGGGUGAGUAACGUGUGGGCAACCUGCCUUAUACUGGGGAAUAAUCAUUGGAAACGAUGACUAAUACCGCAUGUCACCUUGGGAGGGCAUCCUUCUAAGGGAAAGGAUUUAUUCGGUAUAAGAUGGGCCCGCAUCUGAUUAGCUAGUUGGUGAGAUAAUAGCCCACCAAGGCGACGAUCAGUAGCCGACCUGAGAGGGUAAUCGGGCCACAUUGGGACUGAGACACGGGCCCAAACUCCUACGGGAGCAGCAGUGGGGAAUAUUGCACAAGUGGGGGAAACCCUGAUGCAGCAACGCCGCGUGAA